UAGUCUUAGCCGUAAACGAUGGGCACUAGGCAAUGGGCUUACCUAUGAGGUUCAUUGCCGUAGCUAAUGUGUUAAGUGCCCCGCCUGGGGAGUACGCUCGCAAGAGUAAAGCUCAAAGGAAUUGACGGGGGAUCACACAAGCGGUGGAGCAUGUUGUUUAAUUCGAAGCAACGCGAAGAACCUUACCAGGCCUUGACAUGCAUGGAUUAGCAACCCGAAAGGGUUGUGACGCCUCUUCGGAGGUGGAACAUGUGCAGGUGUUGCAUGGCUGUCGUCAGCUCGUGCCGUGAGGUGUUGGGUUAAGUCCCGUAACGAGCGAAACCCUUAUCUUUAGUUGCCAGCGGGUUAUGCCGGGGACUCUAGAGAGACUGCCGUUGUCAAAACGGAGGAAGGUGGGGACGACGUCAAGUCAUCAUGGCCCUUAUGGCCUGGGGCUACAAACGUGCUACAAUGGUCCGUACAAAGGGUUCCGAAGCCGCGAGGUGUAGGCAAUCCCAUCAAAGCGGGCCCCAGUUCGGAUUGC
rnacentral:rRNA from 1 species